CCAACGAAUUCUUAUCUUGGCAUUAGACAAGUACAUCAACACUCAUUAAGGGAGUUAAGCAGACUGACAGCGAAGAUGAAACUGUUGCUUGUUUUAGUUGGUAUUUGCACAAUACUUGCCCUUGGGCAUGCAGCAUCUUUAUUCACCUUUCGCCCACCCCCCAGCCAAGAACCUUGUAGCCAGCCGCUGACCGUUUGUGAUGUUGACCCCUGCCUCGGACGUACCUGCCAAUAUUAUCCUGCCAUCUGCGUGCCCAACUAUUGUGGUGGAUGCAGUUCGAAGCUCUACUUCAAUGGUUAUGAAGUGAAUGACCUCAUGUGUUCAACACUCAUUGUUGGGUAAAAACGUGUUCUUGCCUUCAGUUCAUUAAAAAAACAUGUACUGAUUUCA